rnacentral:rRNA from 1 species
GACGAACGCUGGCGGCGUGCCUAAUACAUGCAAGUCGAGCGGAAAGGCCCUUCGGGUGACCCUCGCGGCGAAACGGUGGAUAACACAUUAACAAUUUGACCUUGGCCUUGUGAGAACUACCGGAAAUGGUGGCUAAUACCCUAAUCCCCAACCGUCUACAUGGGCUGGUUGUUGAAAGGUUUUUCGGGCUUGGAUGUGCUCGCGUCCCAUCAGCCGGUUGGCGGGGUAAUGGUCUUCCAAGGCCUCGAUGGGUAGCCGGCGUGAGGGGGUGACCGGGCAGACUGGGACUGAGACACGGCACAGACUCCUACGGGAGGCAGCAGUGGGGAAUAUUGGACAAUGGGCGGAAGCCUGAUCCAGCAACGCCGCGUGAGGGAUGACGGCCUUAGGGUUGUAAACAUCUUUCAGUACCGACGAAGCGCCGAUGAUGGUGGUGACGGUAGGUACAGAAGAAGCACCGGCCAACUACGUG